GUAUAGAUGGUUUAGAGAGAGAGAGAGUUGGGUAUAGAUGCGAGAGAGAGAGAGAGAGAGAGAGAGAGCUGGGUAUAGAUGGUUUAGAGGGAGAGAGAGAGAGAGAGAGAGAGAGAGAGCUGGGUAUAGAUGGUUUAGAGAGAGAGAGAGAGAGAGAGAGAGCUGGGUAUAGAUGGUUUAGAGAGAGAGAGAGAGAGGCUGGGUAUAGAUGGUUUAGAGAGAGAGAGCUGGGUAUAGAUGGUUUAGAGCGAGAGAGAGCUGGGUAUAGAUGGUUUAGAGAGAGAGAGAGAGAGAGCUGGGUACAGAUGGUUUAGAGAGAGAGAGAGAGAGAGAGCUGGGUAUAGAUGGUUUAGAGAGAGAGAGAGAGCUGGGUAUAGAUGGUUUAGAGAGAGAGAGAGAGCUGGGUAUAGAUGGUUUAGAGAGAGAGAGAGCUGGGUAUAGAUGGUUUAGAGAGAGAGAGAGAGCUGGGUAUAGAUGGUUUAGAGAGAGAGAGAGCUGGGUAUAGAUGGUUUAGAGAGAGAGAGCUGGGUAUAGAUGGUUUAGAGAGAGAGAGAGAGAGAGAGCUGGGUAUAGAUGGUUUAGAGAGAGAGAGCUGGGUAUAGAUGGUUUAGAGAGAGAGAGAGCUGGGUAUAGAUGGUUUAGAGAGAGAGAGCUGGAGCUGGGUAUAGAUGGUUUAGAGAGAGAGAGAGAGCUGGGUAUAGAUGGUUUAGAGAGAGAGAAUGAGAGAGAGCUGGGUAUAGAUGGUUUAGAGAGAGAGAGAGCUGGGUAUAGAUGGUUUAGAGAGAGAGAGAGAGAGCUGGGUAUAGAUGGUUUAGAGAGAGAGAGAGAGCUGGGUAUAGAUGGUUUAGAGAGAGAGAGAGAGCUGGGUAUAGAUGGUUUAGAGAGAGAGAGAUUUGUGAAUCAUUUUCAUUAAGAUUCUACCUACUUUGCACAAGUCAUAUAGAGCAAUAUACACUGAGUAAACAAAACAUUAAGAACACCUGCUCUUUCCAUGACAUAGACUGACCAGGUGAAUCCAGGUGAAAAGCUAUGAUUCCCUUAUUGAUGCCAAGUCUUAAAUCCAC
rnacentral:lncRNA from 1 species